UGGGGAAUAUUGGACAAUGGGCGAAAGCCUGAUCCAGCCAUGCCGCGUGUGUGAAGAAGGCCUUCGGGUUGUAAAGCACUUUCAGUGGGGAAGAAAGCCUUGGGGCUAAUACCCUCGAGGAAGGACAUCACCCACAGAAGAAGCACCGGCUAACUCCGUGCCAGCAGCCGCGGUAAUACGGAGGGUGCGAGCGUUAAUCGGAAUUACUGGGCGUAAAGCGCGCGUAGGCGGUCUGAUAAGCCGGUUGUGAAAGCCCCGGGCUCAACCUGGGAACGGCAUCCGGAACUGUCAGGCUAGAGUGCAGGAGAGGAAGGUAGAAUUCCCGGUGUAGCGGUGAAAUGCGUAGAGAUCGGGAGGAAUACCAGUGGCGAAGGCGGCCUUCUGGACUGACACUGACGCUGAGGUGCGAAAGCGUGGGUAGCAAACAG
rnacentral:rRNA from 1 species